UAUCGGAAGUGGAAUUCGAACCCACGCCCACAUCAGUGGACCCGAACACCCAACUCCCGCUACGGUAUAAGAUUUACUCUUGAGUCUGGCGCCUUAGACCACUCGGCCAUCCUGAC
rnacentral:tRNA from 1 species